rnacentral:lncRNA from 1 species
ACAACUCUGCCUUUACAAAAUUAAAACUAAGUUCCCCAAAACCAGAUAUAUUAGUUUGAACAUUGAUAAACUACUUUCCACUUGGACUAGAAAUGUAUGUGAGGAACUAGAAGUUAAAUUAGAACUAAAAAGAGUUGAACAAAUCUGACUUGUAGUUCUAGUAGUACGUCAUGCAUGAAAUAUUUUACCUCUAUUCAAAUUAGAUGUUCCACUUUCAUCAACCCCUAACCAAUAUCACUAAUUAUAUCAUCAGAAGAAGCAUCAUUUAGCUGUGAUCUGGUCAGGUUACAAACAACAUUGAUCGACUGCUAUUGGAUAUUAUAUAUGUGUGUAUAUUUUUGGUGAUAAUCUAUUUGUAUACAUUAAAAUUACAUAUAAACGUGCUUUUAGAAAAUAUUUUAUAUGAUCUAGAGACUCGAAAACCAGGGGCUCUAUGUACGAUCUUGAAGUUGCUUUCCAUUUUCCAUCACGUGUAAACUAGCUAGUAUUCGACCCAUCAUUUGCAAAUAAUAUAUGGUCCAAUAUGGUAGGCGGCUGUUCAACUACUUACCAAUGCAUUUGCAUGAGUUGGAAUUUCUAUUCUUAAUAUUCAUAUAAUAAUGAACAAUGCGUAAAAAUUUCCAUGGCAGAGUGCCUAUAAAUUGAAACCAUUUCUUUGGUCCUAACAACUCAACACAGAGCUGUCUCCUACUCCUAGUUCCACGGUUCCACUAUAUCUCUCUCAGUAUAUUUCUCCACUUCUGUCAUCACUCUUCUCUCAGUUAAGAUGGCUGCAGUUGCUCAAGCGUUGGAGAACUCAAAUGUCUCGAGCAUCAAAUCACUAGCUGACUCACAAGCUCUCAACUCUGUGCCUUCUGCAUAUGCCUUCAACAUUAACCCCAAUGAUGAAGCUGAUCCUAAUGACCCUGAGUUUGCCAUUCCCAUUGUUGAUAUGUCUCUUCUCACUUCUGGUUCCCCUGCUCAGCGCGCCCAAAUCGUCCACGAUCUUGUCAAAAUUUGUCAAGAAUGGGGCUUCUUCAUCGUAUGUUAGCUAAUGUUUUCUUUGGUUCUUGUUAUAUAACUCUCUAUGUUAAGCUCUAUCAGUUACGAAUAUGAUCCUAAUUGGUUCACUUGAUUACAGGCAAUUAACCACGGAGUACCAGAGAGUCUGAUGAAGGCGAUGAUUGACGCAUGCCAUGGAUUUUUCAGUCUUCCGGAUGAGGAGAAGAAGGAGUUUAAAUCAGGAAAUGAUGUUCUUGAGAUGUUCAAGUAUGGAACAAGCUAUAAUCUAGCAUUGGACAAAGUACUUUUAUGGAGGGACUUCUUCAAGGUCCGAACACAUCCUGAGUUUUACUCUCUCUACAAGCCAGCUAGCUUCAGGUACAUAUAACUCUUAAGGUUUAUGUGUUACUAUAAUCUAGCAUUUGUCUAUGUGUUACUUCUAAUUCUCAAUUUUUGAUGAUCUCUUUUUUCUCGUACUUUCUUUCAGUGAGGUUUCGCUGGAGUUUAGCCAAAGAAGCAGAGAAGUAGCACUGGAAAUAACAAGAGCAAUAUCAGAAAGCUUGGGGUUGGAGCCGGACUACAUAUAUAACAAAAUGAACAUGAAUCGCGGCCUACAAAUGCUAGCAGGGAACUACUACCCACCUUGCCCUGAGCCUGAGCAUGCCAUCGGUAUACCCCAUCAUACCGAUCAUGGUUUAGUCACACUCCUCAUCCAGAAUGAGAUGAAUGGUCUCCAAGUUGAGCACAAUGGAAAAUGGCUCACAGUCAAUGGCCCUAAGAAUGGUUUUUUUGUUAACCUUGCAGACCAAAUGCAGGUACGUACUACUUGAAAUUUUCUUAAUCUUAAACUUCUAACUUCUGUAUGUCUAUAUCUAUGGUUACUUACACCGGCCGGCACAUCCAUAACAUUGGUGAUUGUUUCAUAGCCUCUGUUGAAUCUAAUUUAAUCUGUACAAUAAAUUUCUGCAGAUCCUUACAAACGGUAAGUACAAGAGUGUGAUGCAUCGCGCCACCGUGAACAACAAAGCUACGAGGAUAUCAAUAGCCAUACCACAUGGACCAUCCGUAGACACGAUCAUCGCACCAGCAGCAGAGUUGUGUGAAAGAGAAGGCCAAGCACCAAAGUACCUUGCAAUGAACUACAAGGAAUACAUCCAACUUCAGCAAAGCGGCAAGAACUACAUGAAGUCCACAUUUGAUCACAUCCGAACUUAGACUAUUAGGUUGUUAUAUACUAUCUUGAACAUCCAGUAGUUUCAAGUUCCUCUAGUUUCUUACUUUCUUUUCAACAUCAUUCUAGUUUUUCUACAAUAAUAGCCAUGCCAUCUUGAGUCUCCGGCCAGCUGAUACUGUAUUGGUGGUGCCAAUUAAAGAGCUUGUAGUAAGACAAUGUAUUUGCAUUAUUGCAUUUAAAAUCAAUCGACAUACAUAGAUUUUGAUCAACAACAAUUAAUAGAUCGAUCAUUUCAUUGUUGUUACUGCUAAAGUGAGGAGAAUGUGAAUUUUGUUAAAAUUCAUAAAAUUAGGACUCUCUAUCCAAUCUAAUGGUUCUAGCAAUCAACACAUCACUUUUCUACCAUUUUUUUUGGUUUUCAUCUAACCCAUGGUUAACUUAGUUUAUAGUAAAAAAAAAAAUUAAAGAAAAAAAAGAAAUUCUCGUUGCCAUGUCUCCUCUGCAUGACUGCAUCAAGUAUAUUCUUUCCACUUCCUUUUACACUUUGCUUUGCUUAACCAUGAAAUUAAUGACCUUUUGCACUGUGUAAAUUAAAUGAUUCACCAAUUUAGUUAAUUGUUUAUCAGAUUGAUCAUGUAUCAUCAAUGUCAAUGGACCUAUCUUCAGCAUAAUCUGCUAUAUCUGUACUAAGUUCAAAAAAUCUAAUCAUGGAGCUGGGUUCUUAAAAUUUAUUCAAAUGAAAUACAAAAUUAAUUGGGAUAGUAAUUCCUCUAUCGAUCGGGUAAAAAGAAAAAAUCAUGGGUUUCUUAUUUGAUUCCUAUAUUCUGGGUAUCUUCAUGUAGAUCUCCAGUAAUGUAAUUCUUGUCAAAACCCUAAUCUUAUGUUAUAUAAAAUACUUCCAAUUUGUACGUAUUACAAUUGAAUAAAUCGCUUCUUGUUAAAUAAAUUAUUAAAAACAAUUGCAAGAAGCCAAUGAUUCCAUGGUUAGUCUGCAACCAUGGAAGCAAAGAGAAGUAGCAGCAAAGAAAGCAGAAAUAAAGAAGGAACUUAAACCACAACCGGAAAUCCUUUAAUUUUUUUAGUUUUUUUUUUUUACUUUAGUAAGUUAACCAUGGUUUAGAUGAAAACAAAAAAAAUGGUAGAAAAGUGAUGUGUCAGUUGUUGGAACCAUUAGAUUGGAUAGAAAGUCUUGAUUUUAUGAAUUUUAACUAAAUUCACACUCUCCUCACUUUAGAGGAGCCGGAUCCGGUUAGUAAUUAGGUCAUAUAUCGAUGUAGUCCUUAGCUUGAUCUCUAGCUAUGAAAACUGCGUAUAAAUGAUCGGUGUUAAAGUACAAAUUUGAUGAUGAAUGUAGUGUCAUAAGCUUAAAGUCGUGUAUUUUUGAGUGAGAAUUUUAUCUCCAACAAUUCGCUAGGUAGCUAAAAAACGGUGCUUGGAUUGAUCCGAGCUAUAUAUAGUUAGAUGAUUAUUCGGGAUGUAUAUUCGAUAUCAGUUCUUGGUUUGACACAUUUAGUAAUUGUCAGUUGUGCAUAGUCUAAGAUCAGAUAUCUUUAAGGUUCCUUUGAAAUUAUGUAAGAUCAUAUUACUUUUCACUUCCUGCAGCGAGUCUUCCAAUGACGAAGCCAUAGGCCUCCCCCAUAACAAUCAGUAACCAAAGAAAUUGAUUAGGUCAAAUAAACUUCUGAACUAAGGGUAUGUUUACUAACCUGGAAUGGAAUUGAGAGUGGUGUAAUUGAUUCCGGAAUGGGUGAAUUCCGGCGUUUACUAAGAGCAUCUCCAACGAACCUGUCAAAUGACAGGGUGGAGGCUCAACAGCUAGUUUUGACAAUUUUUGGUUCCUCCAUUGAAGAUGCCAAAUACGACGUGGCUGUGUCAAUUCCGACCUGGAUUUGACCUUGAGCACAACAUUGUCAAAUUUGACCGUAUGAACCAAGCAUGUCAAAUCUUAUUCUAUUGUUCCUAUUCCUUCUCUCUUCCUUCUCUGCUGAGAAGCUCUCUUCAUCAAAAAGAUCCAAAUUUCAAAACACAAUUUCUCACCACCACCUUCAAAAAGAUCCAAAUUUCAGAAUACAGCUUCUCAUUGGGUCUGUAAAUAAAAUUAGAAGGGAUUUAGAAGAACUGAAUCUUGAAAUUGGGGCUUCGAUUNNNNNNNNNNNNNNNNNNNNNNNNNNNNNNNNNNNNNNNNNNNNNNNNNNNNNNNNNNNUUAAAUUCAUUUCUUGUAGGGGUAUUUUAGUAAUUAAACUAGUUUUAAUUCUGAUUCCAUAUAGUAAGUAAACAACAUCAAUCGUAAUUAAUUUCAUUCAUGUUUUGAUUUUUUAUGGUAAGUAAACAAUAGAAAUAUUGAUACCGAUUGAAAUAUUUUCAUACCGAUUGUUGUUGAUACCGAUUCAUGAUAAUUUUCAUUUCAAGUUAAUUAGUAAACGUGUCCUAAAAUAUAUAAGUAUUUGAUCUGAAUAGUAUGGACCUAAAAAGAAAAAAGGGCAUCCAUGGUUACUUUUACACAAGACAAGAAAGGAUAGGAAUAAGGAUUUAUUGAAUUGAAAGAUGCAAGGCAAGAAAAGUAAAAUGCAAAGGAGAUAUGAAUGCUACAUCUUGUAUUGCUUGAUAGAGAUAUAAAUAGUACAUAGCAUAAUAUUUAUAGGGUAGGUAUUGCUAGUGAAUGACCUUAGUACCUUUUACAUGGUUAACACCCCCUAAACCAUAUGAUAGAGAUAUGAACAGUACAUAACAUAAUAUUCAUAGGGUAGGUAUUGCUAGUGAAUGACCUUAGUACCCUUUACAUGGUUAACACCCCCCCUCAACCAUAUGGUUGGCUAAGCAUAAUGAUUGGCACAAGCAAACAACCAAGAAAUACAGAUAUAGAAUCCAUUACAAAACUACAAACCCAAAUCAAAAUCACAACUACUUGAUACUUGACAUUCUACUGAUAGAGAAGAGAGUAUGCUGGAAGAUUUCAUAGUUCACAAUGGUGAUAGCAAAGACAGAAGAGCAGUAUCAUGAAUAAUCCCAGUCAACAUAGCAGCAAAUGAUGUAAAACUGAAAAUUCCAAUAUGAAAAACUGCAUAUUUCUUCAAUCAUAAAUUGAAAAACUGAAUAGCUGCGUAUGCUACCUUAAGAUGAGAAGAAUCUCUUGAAACUUCAUUUAUAUGCACUAAACACUUGCACAAACCAAUUGAUAAUCUUUGCCACAAUAUAAUUUGUAUUCCACCAGAAAAUACCAGUAGCCCUAUAUCGAUAUAUUGGCAACACAAUAGCAAUUUAAGAAUCUGACUUAAUCUUCAAACUGCAUAUGUACUCUAACAUCUCAAUACAUCUUAACUCCUCUCUAUUUUGAAGCAGCAAUAUGACCAUAGAACAUUAUACACAACAGAUUUGCAGCAACCAUGGUACCAUCUCCUAAAAAUAAACACAACUCGCACACAAGCCACACAUUCAGACCAUAAUCUAACCCACCAAGCCAAAUCACCAGUCCAAAAAACAAAUUAUAAAACUGCUUCGUCACCUUUUUCUCUUGGUUGAUGGCAAACAAACUUUGAUAAGAAAAAUAAAACUAGAAAACUGAUGAAUUGAUCAUAACAACCCAGACUAGAGAGAAAAUCCACGACUCAAGUGAAAGAGAUGCCAAUCUGAAAAAUAGUACCAACUUUGCUGCAUAUAUUGCACUAUACAGAGAUAGAUGCAGAGUUGUACAAGUUCACAAAUAUACUGUAUAAUAACAUCAACUCUCAAUUCUUCUUAGCGUAUCCCAUUCUUCAAUUCCAUAACCAUAUCAAUUAAUGGACAACUUCUACUGUUAUCACCAUCAUAUGCAGCAAUACUACCAUAAACAACAUUACAAAAUCCAUACUACCAGUAGCUAGGCUUCAACUAGAUCAUAGGAAACCAUCUCUCAAAAGUAAACACAACCAGCACACAAAGCCAUACAAAUCAAUUCUGAAUUCCAACUCCUCAACCCAAUUCACUAGUCCAAAAACAAAAGAAAAAUAAACUUCUUCGUCAAUUUUUGACUUCAACUUGAACUUUGAUAAAAAGAAAAUUGGAAAACUGAUGCAGAGCAAAACAAUUGAAUUUCAGAGAGAGAUUUCAUGUUCCAAGUGAUAGAUAUACCUAUAUCAAAAAGAAAUUACCAUCUGCUCUGAAAUUGAAGCAAAGUGCUGGAUGCGCUGAAAUUGGACAAAACGAUUGUGUUUUGGAGGAUGAGUGAAGACCAGAGAAGACCACUAAUAUCUGCCCCUCUGAUGUCAUAGCCAUAUAAACGACGGAAGACUGCGAAUGGAAUCGCAAAAGCCCCAAACCAAAAAUUGAAGACCGAAACUUGAAGCUAGCGCGAUUUGAUUUGACCGGAGCAUGAGAGGAGUCAGUGCCCAGAGUUUGCAAAGCUGAGAACGAAACCGAGAGAGAAGCGGACGAUGACGAACUCAGAGCGGGACAACAAGGCAGGAGAUGCAAAGGAAUCGGGCUAGGGUUUGAAAUUGGGGAAAUUGAAAAUUGAGAUAAAACUAAACUAAAAACGCGGAAGCAAAGCUAUAUUCAGAAGCACAUAGCCCCAGAUCAUGACUAUGGCUCUGAUACCAUGAUAGGAAUCAAGGAUUUAUUGAAUUGAAAGAUGCAAGGUAGAAAAGUAAAACGCAGAGAAGAGAUGAAAUCUACAUCUUGUAUUGCUUGAUAGAGAUAUGAACAGUACAUAGCAUAGUACUAGAUAGCUGACCCCCGCACUAAGGUGUGUGUGAGAGAGAGGGAGAGGGAGAGAGAGAGAGAGAGAGAGAGAGAGAGAGAGAGAGAGAGAGAGAGAGAGAGAGAGANNNNNNNNNNNNNNNNNNNNCCCAGACUGCAGGAUUACUAUUUUACCCCCGCUUUUCUGCUGAUUUACGUCUUUGUCAUCCCAUCGAUAAAUACCUUUUUUGUCUUCUAUUUUUUGGUAAUUUACAAAAUUGCCACUGUCUCUCUCUCUCUCAAACUGAAUGGCAACGUCGUAAAUAAGCAAAGAAGAAGGGACAAAAUGGUAAUUUCUAGAAAAUAAACAGUGUAUGCACAGUGAAGCUCCUCACCUGGAAAUAGAGUAUUGUAAAUUUAUAAGGUAGGUAUUGCUAGUGAAUGACCUUAGUACCCUUUACAUGGUUAACAAGAAAAACCCUAAAAACAAAUCAUUCUCAAGUUCUGACACGUCCUAACGUCGACCAUCCAAUAAUUUCAGUACCUUGGUCUAGGGUUUGAAUUGCAAAGAUAGACACGCCUCCAAUAUCAGUAAAUCUUUGUUGACACACCGAGAGAUCAAUUCUAGGUGCUCCAACAUACACAUUUUGCUGCUCAAAAGCACGAACCCGAUAGCAGUGAUUAUAUCAGAGUCUGUGAGUUAGUCUAUGAAAAUUGAGUACCCAGAAAUUCAGAGAUGAAUAUGAUGAACAUUCUCGCCCGUUAGCUUGAUAAUGCAGCGAUUGCCCUUGGUUCCUUUUGCAUGUGGUAAGAGGAUCACACCAUUAAUUGUGUUUAUGCUUUGUGUGCAAAAUUUGUGAUGAAUUUUCAAAGUUGAGAAACCGUGAUUUUGGUGGGAAUGAAUACUACUGCUACGUACAAGGUAAAUUCUUCUAUAUUAACUAGCUUGCUGUUUCCAUUUUUCUGAAGUUGCUAUGAUAUUUGAAUUAUCAGCACAUUAGUAGUUCUCUGCUAGCUGGCAUUAUUCGAUAUGCAGCUAGCCCAACUCAAAUUGUAUACAUAAUUAGGAAAAUUCCUUUGAUUAAUUCAAUCAGAUGUAAUAUUUUAACUGUUUUUGAAAUACAUCUAUCAAGUUUCCCUUUUUUUUGUUUCUUGACCAAGGAAGAACAGAAGUCCAAGCACUCUACCGCCACAUAUGGAAUAUAAUUUCUUGAGGUUCUAUAUAACGUACAUUAUAAUUUCUGCGGCCCUGCACGCGUACCUCAUUGCUAGGCUGUAAGGCUAUCUCUUCACGCAAUCGUCACCGUUGGACCAAGUGUGGGAUACAAAUUUAUCGACCAUCUUUAUUUGUCUACUAAAAUGUCCACCCUUUUAGUCUAUUGACACAUGUCUUUUCAAAUUAUUUAACUUUAUUCUUGUUAAUAAAAUAGACAUGUAUUAAUAGAUUAAGAGAGUGAGCAUUUUGGUGGGCAAAUAAAAAUAGUCGGUAAAUUUGUAUCUAUUAUGCAUGAUAAAAGAAUCACCAUCUAUCAUAAUGCAUUUCCUUAAUUUGGACCAACUAAUUAACUCUUGCAGAAAUUAAAACCUUUCCUUAGUCAUUGCAUGCAUAUGUUCGAUCGACUGUUCCUGUCUACCUUUGGAUGAUGGUGGCGCGGUGGAAUUUCGUACUGCUUUGAUAUAAGAAAUUCUAGAAUCUUCCAGAUAAAAGGACAAUUAUCACUACGUACGUACUUCUCAUUUUUUCUCGAUCGAAGCUUCCCAGCUUUGCCUCGUCUUUCUUCAGCUUAUCUCUGGAUUUGUUGCAAGUUUACUUCAUUGACUAGCUAGGAGAAACCAGGCUGCUAAUAUUCUUCCAAAGAAUAAAACAAACAAAAGGAAUCCGUUGCAGAAUGGGAGUUAAUUAUUGAUGUUCACAUUCAUGGUCAAUUUGGCAUAAUUAGAUGACUUACAAACUUGAAAUUAUGCGUGUUGGUUUGAAUCUUGUUACAGUUAUAUUGAUUUAAAAGACUUAAGUAUACCAUAUGUAUGUUACGCAAAGAACCAGAUAUUUUCAAAGAAAAUGGGGACAAUAUUAGUAUGAAACAUAGAUAAACUGCGUAUUUGGACUUGGACUAGAAAUGUAUCCAAGGACGAUCGACUAGAAAGUUUAGAAAUAAAAAGAGCUGAACGUACGUACACACUUGAGACUUGUUGUUCUAGUAGUACCUCAUGGGAAAAUUCUACCUCAAUAUAAAUUACAUGUUCCAAUUUCAACCAAUAUCACUAAUUGAUUAAUUAUAUUAACAUCAGAAGAAGAUCAUGUAGCUGUGAUCGAUCUCGUCAGGUUACAGACAAUAACAUUAAUCAACUGCUAUUGGAUAUCAAUAUAUAUAUUUAUCAUCUAGAAGCUCGUAAAAACGUACGUGAUUUUCUUUUGAAAAAUAUGUUGUAUGAAGUAGAAGAUCAACACCAGGCUAGGGGCUCUAGCUGUUGGAAAAUAUGUUGCAUAAUCGUUUAGCCUAAGAAUAUGUUGUACGUGCUCGAUCUUGAAUGCAUUUCAAUUCCUUCACGUGUGCCUUAAACUAGCUUUAGUUCGACCAUCAAUUGCAUAUGGGGACGGGGCAGGCGACUAGCAAUUUAACAUGCAAGAUGCAUAUGCAUCAUUUGGAAUUUCUACUCUUCAUUUUCAUAAUAAUGACAACGUCUGAGAAAUUCCAUUCCACAGUGCCUAUAAAUUGAAACCAUUUCUUAAAAUGAUCACAACAACUCAACACAGAGAUCAGCUAUACUCCUAGUUCCUCUAUCUCUUGCUUUCAGUAUAUUUCUCCCACUCUCUUCUGUCAUCACUCUUCUCUGAAUUAAGAUGGCUGCAGUUUCUCAAGCCUUGGAAACCUCAAAUGUCACAAGCAUCAAAUCACUAGCUGAGUCACCAGCUCUCAGCUCUGUCCCUUCUGCUUAUGCCUUCAACAUUAACCCCAAUGAGGAAGCUGAUCCUAAUGACCCUGAGUUUGCCAUUCCCAUUGUUGAUAUGUCUCUUCUCACCUCUGGUUCUCCUGAUGAGCGCGCGAAGAUCAUCCGCGAUCUUGUCAAAAUCUGUCAAGAAUGGGGCUUCUUCAUCGUAUGUUAACUAAUAUUUAAUGCUUUGGUUCUUGUUAUGUAUGUUUUAUUCUAUCAAUUACGUAAGAAUAUGAAGCUAAUCGGUUUCACUUGAUUACAGGCAGUUAACCACGGAGUACCAGAGAGCCUGAUGAAGGAGAUGAUUGACGCAUGCCAUGGAUUUUUCAGUCUUCCGGAUGAGGAGAAGAAGGAGUUUAAGUCAGGAAAUGAUGUUCUCGAGAUGUUCAAGUGUGGAACAAGCUAUAAUCUAGCAUUGGACAAAGUACUUUUAUGGAGGGACUUCUUCAAGGUUCGAACACAUCCUGAGUUUCACUCUCUCAACAAACCAGCUAGCUUCAGGUACAGCUCUUGAAGAUGAUAGACAAGCGCUCUCAACAUUAAUUUGUCAUAGAAUCUGGACGAAAUAUUUACAGUCUAACUACACUAGCGCACUAAAAUAAUAACAUGUGUAUGUGUUACUUCUAAUUCUCAAUUGACGAUGAUUCCUUUUUCUCAUACUUUCUUUCAGUGUGGUUUCGCUGGAGUUCAGCAGAAGAAGCCGAGAAGUAGCACUGGAAAUAACAAGAGCAAUAUCAGAAAGCUUGGGGUUGGAGCCGGAUUACAUAUAUAACAAAAUGAACAUGGAUCGCGGCAUACAAAUGCUAGCAGGGAACUACUACCCACCUUGCCCUGAGCCUGAGCAUGCCAUUGGUAUACCCCAUCAUACCGAUCAUGGUCUAGUCACUCUCCUCAUCCAAAAUGAAAUGAAUGGCCUCCAAGUCGAGCACAAUGGAAAAUGGCUCACUGUCAAUGGCCCUAAGAAUGGCUUUUUUGUUAACCUUGCAGACCAAAUGCAGGUACAUUGCUUGAAAUUUUCUUAAUCUUAUACUUCUGUACAUCCAUAACAUUGGUGAUUACUUCAUUGCUUCUGUGGAAUCUAAUUUAAUUUGUAUAAUUGUUCGUAGAUUCUUACAAACGGUAAGUACAAGAGUGUGAUGCAUCGCGCCACCGUGAACAACAAAGCUACGAGGAUAUCGAUAGCCAUACCACAUGGACCAUCCGUAGACACGGUCAUAGCACCGGCACCUGAGUUGUGUGAAAGAGAAGGCAAAGCUCCAAAGUACCUUGCUAUGAACUACAAGGAAUACAUACAACUUCAGCAAGGCGGCAAGAACUACAAGUUCUUUUUGAACAACGGCAAGAACUACAUGAAGUCCACAUUUGAUCACAUCC